AAGUCGUAACAAGGUCUCCGUUGGUGAACCAGCGGAGGGAUCAUUACCAGAGUGCCCUAGGCUCUCCAACCCAUUGUGAACAUACCUAACGUUCCCUCGGCGGGCUCAGCGCGCGGUGCCUCCGGGCUCCGGGCGUCCGCCGGGGACAAGCAAACCCUGAUUUUAUCGUGUAUCUCUGAGGGGCGAAAGCCCGAAAACAAAAUAAAUCAAAACUUUCAACAACGGAUCUCUUGGCUCUG
rnacentral:misc_RNA from 1 species